AACGAACGCUGGCGGCAUGCCUAACACAUGCAAGUCGAACGGUGCCUUCGGGCACAGUGGCGCACGGGUGAGUAACACGUGGGACCCUGCCUCUCGGUUCGGAAUAACGUUUGGAAACGAACGCUAACACCGGAUACGCCCUUCGGGGGAAAGUUUACGCCGAGAGAGGGGCCCGCGUCGGAUUAGGUAGUUGGUGAGGUAACGGCUCACCAAGCCGACGAUCCGUAGCUGGUCUGAGAGGAUGAUCAGCCACACUGGGACUGAGACACGGCCCAGACUCCUACGGGAGGCAGCAGUGGGGAAUAUUGGACAAUGGGCGCAAGCCUGAUCCAGCAAUGCCGCGUGAGUGAUGAAGGCCUUAGGGUUGUAAAGCUCUUUCGCACGCGACGAUGAUGACGGUAGCGUGAGAAGAAGCCCCGGCUAACUUCGUGCCAGCCGCCGCAGUAA
rnacentral:rRNA from 1 species